UGUGGCGCAGCUUGGUAGCGCGCUUCGUUCGGGACGAAGAGGUCGUGGGUUCGAAUCCCGCCACCCCGACCA
rnacentral:tRNA from 1 species